rnacentral:rRNA from 1 species
UUGACCUCAAAUCAGGUAGGACUACCCGCUUGAACUUAAGCAUAUCAAUAAGCGGAGGAA